rnacentral:rRNA from 1 species
CCUACGGGCGGCUGCAGUGGGGAAUAUUGGACAAUGGGGGGAACCCUGAUCCAGCCAUGCCGCGUGUGUGAAGAAGGCCCUCGGGUUGUAAAGCACUUUCAGUGAGGAAGAACGCCUGGUGGUUAAUACCCAUCAGGAAAGACAUCACUCACAGAAGAAGCACCGGCUAACUCCGUGCCAGCAGCCGCGGUAAUACGGAGGGUGCGAGCGUUAAUCGGAAUUACUGGGCGUAAAGCGCGCGUAGGUGGCUUGAUAAGCCGGUUGUGAAAGCCCCGGGCUCAACCUGGGAACGGCAUCCGGAACUGUCCAGCUAGAGUGCAGGAGAGGAAGGUAGAAUUCCCGGUGUAGCGGUGAAAUGCGUAGAGAUCGGGAGGAAUACCAGUGGCGAAGGCGGCCUUCUGGACUGACACUGACACUGAGGUGCGAAAGCGUGGGUAGCAAACAGGAUUAGAUACCCCUGUAGUC